rnacentral:rRNA from 1 species
CCGUCCAGAAUAUAAAAGAUCUACUUAGUUUAUAAAUUUUAGAAGUAUGAUUAUUGUUGCAUAAAUAAAUUAAAAUAAGUAAGUAGUUGUGAAAAGCUUACAUUUUUAUAGAUAACUGGAUUAAAAGAAAAUAUAUUAAGUAUAUAAUACAAUUUAAAAUCGAUAAGGAUUUUAAAUACAAUGAAAUUUUUAUACUAUGAUUAAACUACUACCUAGUAAAACUAAACGGUGAAAAUAUAUUAUAACAUUAAUUUAAAACUGUCAUUCAUUAUUUAAACUUUUGUAUACUACUUAAUAUAAAAGUGGAAUUAAUAAUGUACCAAUUAGUAUAUUAAUAACUAAAAUAUUAUUAAGGAACUCGACAAAUAUUUUGUACGACUGUUUAUCAAAAACAUAACCAUAAGUAAAUUUUUAUGGUGCAAUCUGCCCAGUGAUAACUUUUAACGGCCGCAGUACUUUGACUGUGCAAAGGUAGCAUAAUAAUUUGGCUUUUAAUUGAAGUCUGGAAUGAGAGAAACUACGUAUAAAAAUUGUCUCAGUUUUAUACUAUAUAUAAAUUAAUUUAAGAAGUGAAAAGACUUCUAAAAUCAAUAAAAGACGAGAAGACCCUUAGAAUUUUUACUAUUAUAAUUUAAUUUAUUAACAAUGUUUUAGUUGGGGCAACUGCAUUUCAAAAUAAAUAAAUGGUGUAUAUGAUAAUUAAACCGAUUAAAUAAAUAAAAAUAAAUUACCUAAGGGAUAACAGCAUAAUUUAAUAAGUAAGAUUGUGACCUCGAUGUUGGAUUAGGUACUAUUAAAGCUAAACGUUUUAAUAUAUUAGUUCUGUUCGAACUCUAAUACCUACAUGAUCUGAGUUCAGACCGGCGU